rnacentral:rRNA from 1 species
UACGGGGGGGGCAAGCGUUGUUCGGAAUUACUGGGCGUAAAGGGCUCGUAGGCGGCCACCUAAGUCGGACGUGAAAUCCCCAGGCUCAACCUGGGAACUGCGUCUGAUACUGGAUGGCUUGAAUCCGGGAGAGGGAUGCAGAAUUCCAGGUGUAGCGGUGAAAUGCGUAGAUAUCUGGAGGAAUACCGGUGGCGAAGGCGGCAUCCUGGACCGGCAUUGACGCUGAGGAGCGAAAGCCAGGGGAGCAAACGGG